rnacentral:rRNA from 1 species
GACGAACGCUGGCGGCGUGCCUAAUACAUGCAAGUUGAGCGCUGAAGGUUGGUACUUGUACCAACUGGAUGAGCAGCGAACGGGUGAGUAACGCGUGGGGAAUCUGCCUUUGAGUGGGGGACAACAUUUGGAAACGAAUGCUAAUACCGCAUAAAAACUUUAAACACAAGUUUUAAGUUUGAAAGAUGCAAUUGCAUCACUCAAAGAUGAUCCCGCGUUGUAUUAGCUAAUUGGUGAGGUAAAGGCUCACCAAGGCGAUGAUACAUAGCCGACCUGAGAGGGUGAUCGGCCACAUUGGGACUGAGACACGGCCCAAACGCCUACGGGAGGCAGCAGGAGGGAAUCUUCGGCAAUGGAAGAAAGUCUGACCGAGCAACGCCGCGUGAGUGAAGAAGGUUUUCGGAUCGUAAAACUCUGUUGGUAGAGAAGAACGUUGGUGAGAGUGGAAAGCUCAUAAAGUGACGGUAACUACCCAGAAAGGGACGGCUAACUACGUG